UAGAGGUCGAAAUAGUCCUGGGAAAUGCAGACGACAGAAGCUGCUUCGUCUAAAUGAGGAGUUGCCUCGGAAUAGGUUAAGUAGUUCGCAAAAUCUUCGCGGAAAAGUUGACAAGUAGAACAGUGACGCACCGUGCGCAAUUUAGUAAUCAUUUGUCGGCAAGAGUAACAAUGUUCGAAUCCUUCAGAUUCUAAAUAACCGAAUCUGCGGAGCCAAAGGUCAAGGGGCAUCGGCGGGGGUCGUUGAACGGAGUCGUUUUCUGGAGGCUCAACAGGAGGGGGAACGCUGUGGGGGUCCAUGCUGGAGAGGAAGUGUAUUUCCUUGAUUUGAGUAUAUAGGAUGUCGCGGCUUGAAUGGAGGCCCGUUCCGAUCCCGUAUUGACAAUUGGAGACAUUGUCAUGGAAGACCUGCGGACAGUCGUGGCAUUUGGUAGCCAGGCGAAUCUCCGGGAUUAAUCGGUCGCAGUCUU